GGCCACACUGGGACUGAGACACGGCCCAGACUCCUACGGGAGGCAGCAGUGGGGAAUCUUGCGCAAUGGGCGAAAGCCUGACGCAGCAACGCCGCGUGGGGGAUGAAGGCCCUCGGGUUGUAAACCCCUUUCAGCAGGGACGAAACUGACGGUACCUGCAGAAGAAGCCCCGGCCAACUACGUGCCAGCAGCCGCGGUAAUACGUAGGGGGCGAGCGUUGUCCGGAUUUAUUGGGCGUAAAGAGCUCGUAGGCGGCUUGGCAAGUCGGGUGUGAAACCUCCAGGCUCAACCUGGAGACGCCACUCGAUACUGCCAUGGCUAGAGUCCGGUAGGGGACCACGGAAUUCCUGGUGUAGCGGUGAAAUGCGCAGAUAUCAGGAGGAACACCGGUGGCGAAGGCGGUGGUCUGGGCCGGCACUGACGCUGAGGAGCGAAAGCGUGGGUAGCAAACAGGAUUAGAUACCCUGGUAGUCCACGCCGUAAACGUUGGGCACUAGGUGUGGGGCCUUAUCAACGGGUUCCGUGCCGUAGCUAACGCAUU
rnacentral:rRNA from 1 species